UAAUACGGGAGGCAGCAGUGGGGAAUAUUGCACAAUGGGCGCAAGCCUGAUGCAGCCAUGCCGCGUGUGUGAAGAAGGCCUUCGGGUUGUAAAGCACUUUCAGUCGUGAGGAAGGUGGUGUAGUUAAUAGCUGCAUUAUUUGACGUUAGCGACAGAAGAAGCACCGGCUAACUCCGUGCCAGCAGCCGCGGUAAUACGGAGGGUGCGAGCGUUAAUCGGAAUUACUGGGCGUAAAGCGCAUGCAGGUGGUUUGUUAAGUCAGAUGUGAAAGCCCGGGGCUCAACCUCGGAAUAGCAUUUGAAACUGGCAGACUAGAGUACUGUAGAGGGGGGUAGAAUUUCAGGUGUAGCGGUGAAAUGCGUAGAGAUCUGAAGGAAUACCGGUGGCGAAGGCGGCCCCCUGGACAGAUACUGACACUCAGAUGCGAAAGCGUGGGGAGCAAACAGGAUUAGAUACCCUGGUAGUCCACGCCGUAAACGAUGCCUACUUGGAGGUUGUGGCCUUGAACCGUGGCUUUCGGAGCUAACCCGUU
rnacentral:rRNA from 1 species